UGCGUAGGCGGUGUCACACGUCCGGGGUGAAAUCCCAUGGCCUAACCAAGGGUCUGCCUCGGAUACGGUGGUACUUGAGUGCGUGAGGGGUGAUCGGAACGCGUGGUGUAGCGGUGAAAUGCGUAGAUAUCACGCGGAAGGCCAACGGCGAAGGCAGAUCACUGGUGCGCAACUGACGCUGAGUGCACGAAAGCGUGGGGAGCAAACAGGAUUAGAUACCCUGGUAGUCCACGCCGUAAACGAUGGGCACUGGGUCGUCGUGGUACUAUGCCAUGGCGGCCGUAGGAAAUUCAUUAAGUGCCCCGCCUGGGGAGUAUGGUCGCAAGGCUGAA
rnacentral:rRNA from 1 species